AUGAAAAAACAUGAGAGUUUGGAGCUUGACUCAAAGACGCGAGCAUCCGAGCUCGCGAUGGCUAUUGAAAAUGCCAAGUCUGCCAAGGCCGAAUCCCAGAAGACCCUCCAGGAGUUGGAUGAGGUGAAGAAGAUAGCGGUGGGAGCGUUCACAGAGCUUCCCCGGAGUGUGUCCGAUGCCGCCGCAUUCUAUCGAGCCGAGGAGGGGAGCUCGACAGAGAAGGUGUUCUGGUCUCAGUAUGCUGAGGCCGGACACCCCGUGCCCCUGAGCGACCAGCUGAAGCAACUGGUCGAGCUCCACAAGGCGGCCGAACAUGCUAUGAAGGGCCUCAUAGUUUGGCUGUGGCCUGGAGGGGCUCUGUCUGGGAGCUAUUUCGGGCUGGUGCGGCGGCUGGUGGAGGCCUGUCCAAGGCUCGAAGUCAUCAAGCGCUCCGUCUGCAUUGAAGGUGCCCGUAGGGCCCUUGCCCGUGCUAAGGUGCACUGGGGCAAGCUGGAUGCUGAGAAGCUUGUGAAGGACGGGCCACCGCCGGGGAAAGAGCAUCGCAAGCCCGAGAAUUAUUAUAAGGAUGUUCUAAAGGGUGCCUUCCUUGUGGCGGAUGAGUGUUCUAGGGAUGUAAUUUUUGAGUGA
rnacentral:rRNA from 1 species